UACGGGGGGGGGCAAGCGUUGUUCGGAAUUACUGGGCGUAAAGGGCUCGUAGGUGGCCAAUUAAGUCAGACGUGAAAUCCCCAGGCUUAACCUGGGAACUGCGUCUGAUACUGGUUGGCUUGAAUUCGGGAGAGGGAUGCAGAAUUCCAGGUGUAGCGGUGAAAUGCGUAGAUAUCUGGAGGAAUACCGGUGGCGAAGGCGGCAUCCUGGACCGAUACUGACGCUGAGGAGCGAAAGCGUGGGGAGCGAACAGG
rnacentral:rRNA from 1 species